AGUGAACGCUGGCGGUAGGCCUAACACAUGCAAGUCGAACGGCAGCACAGUAAGAACUUGCUCUUACGGGUGGCGAGUGGCGGACGGGUGAGGAAUACAUCGGAAUCUACUUUUUCGUGGGGGAUAACGUGGGGAAACUUACGCUAAUACCGCAUACGACCUACGGGUGAAAGCAGGGGAUCUUCGGACCUUGCGCGAUUGAAUGAGCCGAUGUCGGAUUAGCUAGUUGGCGGGGUAAAGGCCCACCAAGGCGACGAUCCGUAGCUGGUCUGAGAGGAUGAUCAGCCACACUGGAACUGAGACACGGUCCAGACUCCUACGGGAGGCAGCAGUGGGGAAUAUUGGACAAUGGGCGCAAGCCUGAUCCAGCCAUACCGCGUGGGUGAAGAAGGCCUUCGGGUUGUAAAGCCCUUUUGUUGGGAAAGAAAAGCAGCAGGUUAAUACCCCGCUGUUCUGACGGUACCCAAAGAAUAAGCACCGGCUAACUUCGUG
rnacentral:rRNA from 1 species